rnacentral:rRNA from 1 species
UACGUAGGUCCCGAGCGUUGUCCGGAUUUAUUGGGCGUAAAGCGAGCGCAGGCGGUUUCAUAAGUCUGAAGUUAAAGGCAGUGGCUUAACCAUUGUACGCUUUGGAAACUGUGAGACUUGAGUGCAGAAGGGGAGAGUGGAAUUCCAUGUGUAGCGGUGAAAUGCGUAGAUAUAUGGAGGAACACCGGUGGCGAAAGCGGCUCUCUGGUCUGUAACUGACGCUGAGGCUCGAAAGCGUGGGGAGCAAACAGG